rnacentral:rRNA from 1 species
GGGAAUUUUCCGCAAUGGGCGAAAGCCUGACGGAGCAAUGCCGCGUGAGGGAAGAAGGCCUCUGGGCUGUAAACCUCUUUUCUCAAGGAAGAAGAUCUGACGGUACUUGAGGAAUAAGCCACGGCUAAUUCCGUGCCAGCAGCCGCGGUAAUACGGGAGUGGCAAGCGUUAUCCGGAAUUAUUGGGCGUAAAGCGUCCGCAGGCGGCCUUUCAAGUCUGCUGUUAAAGCGUGGAGCUUAACUCCAUUAAGGCAGUGGAAACUGUUGGGCUUGAGUGUGGUAGGGGCAGAGGGAAUUCCCGGUGUAGCGGUGAAAUGCGUAGAUAUCGGGAAGAACACCAGUGGCGAAGGCGCUCUGCUGGGCCAUAACUGACGCUCAUGGACGAAAGCCAGGGGAGCGAAAGGGAUUAGAUACCCCUGUAGUCA